AUGCAGCUCUCUGGGCAUUCCCAGGUGGAAUAUUAGGGGCGGGUGGACCGAAUCGGAGUGGAUUUCCUUGGGGAGCAUUAAAGCAAAAUGACUCGCUCUCUUGGGAUUCAUGUUGAUGACAUCAUGACUAUGGGAGUGCAAGUGAGCGCCACUCCAGGCCCAUUAAAUCAGAUAGCAUGAUCAUUUAGUCUAAUUUGCCAUCAGUCCCACUAAUUGCAUCUGACUGUCGACUCUGGAGAGUAUUGUAAUUCCCUUGAACUGGUUAAAGUGACUGUGAUGGCUAUGCUUAAACUUGAUUUAAUGACAGGUGAUAUAUGAUUUAUUCUCCCUUUUUCUUUAUUGUUCCUUUCAACAGCACAAGUCCAGAAUUGUUCAAUAAUUGCGCUGCGUAGUCGUACUGGGGCUUAUUGGUUUUUAUGCACCGCCUUUAGUUGGAGCCAUCUGCUGAAAGAAUCGCAUCGAAGUGCUCAAUGUAUCAUUUAAACAGGAUCAGCUCACUCCAAAUACAAAACAAACGUGACAUCUAAAAAAUUGUAUGACCACACUGUACAUUGAGAUCAAGCUUGUCAUAUCACAGUCGUCGAAAACAGUUACUGCUCAGCCUACCGGGAGGUGCUUUUUCCGUGCAAAAAUGAUGUCUGUAACUGCCCCUUUCUCUUUUCCUUCCCCUUUUCUUUUAUCAUUCUUUUUUGCUACUCCCUUCUGCGGCUCUCGGAGCUUUGUGCUCAUGUUUGAGUUCUCACUGGCUGACAGGUUGUCACAGAUAAUAAGUUUUAAUUCCCCAUGUGGGACCAAAACUCACUUGCCUUGUAAUUUCCUCAUAAUUUUAUUCCCUUUUGAAGCCCUUGAAUGUAGAUUGGUGAGAUGUCAGUUUUAAGUGUGGUAAGCUGAGAUAGUAAUGUAUUCUCCUGCAUUACGACUGGAUUCAGUCAUAUAAAUGGAACAUAGUGCGUUUUUUUGUUUGUUUUGAAUGGGACUUUACCAUGUUACAGGUGCAUGAUCAAUUAAUAUCUUCAUUUUAUUUACUAAGUGUUUAAAAUCAAUGCUUUGUUUAGUAUUUCAGAUUGGUCGAUCAGGACAGAAAGAAACAAAAACAAGUUGGUCUACAGGGCAUCAAUUAUACGACGGUGCCAUCUGUACAGUGAAACAGGGUGGUGCUGACUCGGGUGAGUCAUAUGAUCUCACUCCAACCCCUGAUCCCCAUUUGUCCCAGUGGUGAUGUGUCUAAACGCACCACAGCAGCUCUGAUGGACACUUUGCCUUGAGCUCCUGUUCACCCCUUCCACCCCUCAAUGCCACUUUCUCCCCAAUCCAGAAUAAUGAGCCUUUCAGAAAUUCAACUCAGGGAUCCCGGCCCAGUGGUGUGCUCGGCAGCCCAGAUUUCUCGCCUCUUCCCCCUUGCUAAAGCCUCCACUAGCCCUGGAGCUUCCAGGCCGCUGAAAAAAAUCACAGCUCUGUCGGCCAAGUGUGGUCGCUGCUUCAGCAGGAUAAGUUGGCGAGGGGAAUAUUGUCUAAGUCCCCCUGAAUGUAAACGAAGCACCCUUUGCUGUCACUCUGGAUGGCUGGCCUGUCUUCUGCCUUGGAUGGCUGGUUAGGCAUUCUCCACCUCAUAAAGGAUGCAGCUGUGCUUUUGGAAAUAAAAGGGGGGGAAAAAAACAAAAAACAAAACAAAGACGGCUCUUGUGAAUUUAUGCCCAGGCCUUCUCCAUUCCAGCACCGAAUUGUCACAGUGAGAUUCUGACUUUUUCCUAACGCCGUGGCUGGAAAGUCUGCCUUGUUUUACAGCCAGCCAGAGCCAGGAAAACAAGAACUUAUGACAUCUUCCACCUAUACCCAGAAUAAUCUACUGAGGACAUUUUUGUCGGACAGGUGGAUUAUUUCAUUGAAGACUGAUGUGCAAGUAUUCAACAUUAGUGCUUUUUUUCUGUGGGCUCCUUACUUGCUUGUCAUGGAUGUUCGGAGGUGAUUCCCUAUGGAUCCCAUGUGAUGGAUGCUCUUAAUGAAGGAUGUUAAUUUAAAGUCACCUGCAGGCUAUAGCCGUUCCAUCCAUAAGGCUGCAUCAUCGCCUAUCCAAUGUUCUCUCUGCACUGACAGAGGUAGGCCCAGGGAGAAGUGAGGAGAUGGAAUUGGAUUUGAAGCUCUGAGGCAGAGCUGGUGGUAAAUGGUGUCUUGUGGUUGUGAGGUCAAGACAAAGUUAAGGUCCGUGUCUUCCUGCUUGCUGCAUCUCAUUAAGACCCUGAGGUGUGGAGGGACCAGUGAUAAUUAUGAAAAGUGAUUUGUGCCCACUCAUGCAACUCCUGGAGAUAACAGCACAGUGCCACCCCACAACUGAAUUCACCACCAGCAUUAGCUGCAGCAGCUGUUUGGGGCAGUCGACUCAUCUGAUGCAGCCGUUUGGAGACAAGACAGACGUGUUUACUAGAAGACCUGCACCUGAGCAGAAUGGAUUUACCGAGGCCAGCAAAGGUUUUUGCGCAGUACUUCACCUCGGGAAACGACGACCUCUGUGGCGGCGAGCAUCGAGCGGAACGAGCUAAUUACGUAGCCAUGUUUACUUUUUUAAUGGAGUGCGUGUACAUGGAAUAGUUUUAGCAACUUCACAAAGGCAGCUACGAAGCUUUUGGCCUCUGAGUAUCACCAUUUUCACUUGAAGUGAGCGCAGACUGGAUUUAGAGCUAAAUACGCAAGAAAACGAGGGAUUUAAAAAAAAGAAAGAAAUGUCAUCAUCUUCUGAAGCGUCAUAUUGAUUCAUCGUUAUGGGUCCGCAGGAGACAGACUGUCUGUGGGACAGGAGACAGACUGUCUGUGGGACAGGGACUGACGAAGGGACAGUGUCUGAACGGAGGGAAUUACUUGUAAUUACCAACUUUUCUACCUGACUACAAUGUUGACGUCACUUGGCCACCCCCGUAGUUUUUACUGGAAAACCGGGACUCUAUACAUGUUGUUGCUAAGAUACUGAAUGAUGCCACAGAGAAAGAGGUCGAAGACACCAGCUUCAUAACAUGCCAAAGCAGAUAACAUCUGAAGACAUCUUCAUGCAGACAGUGGAAGGCCAAACGCAGCCAGAGGAGGACCAGCACUGCGCAUGCACCACAGAGCACAGCUGUAAUCCACACAAAUAUUGAAUCGAUCUGACUAUUUCAAAAGAAUGCUGCUUUUUGCAUUGCUGGAGUCACCACUGUUUGCAAAGUUUAAACAUUUUUUUCAAGCAGCCCUUGCAUAAGAGCUAUGGAGCACAGCUGGACUUUACUGGACUCUGAGCUCAGCCCAGACUGAUGUAUGACUUGACAAACUUUCAGAGAAGGAGCCCAAAUGAGCUGUUUCCCUUUCAGUAUGGGACUUCUUUGCACUCUCACAUGCUUUAUCUUAACACCACUAGUGUACACAACCUCCAUGGAAGGAAUACAACUGGACAAAUACAGCUCUUGGAUCCAUAUAGAAGGAGUGACUCAUUAAUCUUCAACGUGAGGAGGUCAUGAUCACCACUGAACUGAGGACGGAUUUCAAUCACAAGUGGUGGGUUAUGAUGCUGGUCCGUUCGUAUAGUGUUCUAGCAACUGAAAGUUUGUGUGCUGUGGAGUGUUCUGAUGUCCAGAAGAGGAUCUGUCAGAUCGGCCACGUGAUAAAAAGGACACGUCAUCACACGUCGGAUGAAGACGGCAGAUGCAGUUGAAACAUGUCAGCAAGAUUGUGGUCUCUGCUUCAAACUACAGACUUCUCGUUUUUCGUGGGACCACCUCCGCUGAAGCGAGGGUCAAACGUAUGCAUUAGGAGUGGCCUGGAGAGCUGCCUGGGAAGGAACAGAUUGCAAGUCUGUUUGCUAUGGCUAGUGCUAGCCAUGCCGCACUCCUGUAGCUGCCAGCGCUCUUCCCAUUCUUUAGGAUGCCUCUGCCGGAGGUGCUGAAAGAGGCCACCGGAUCCGCACGUCAUCAUGACACACUUUGUAGAUGGCAUCACCCCCUGACAUUGCAUCACGCCACUGCUGACACACCGUCACGUGACCCAUCGGCGCAGCAGCGACAGCCAGGUCCAGG